AUACCAUGAUGAAUGAUUUAGCAGAAGAGUUCUUGAAGACUAUAUUCAUCACCCAAUCCUGA
rnacentral:snoRNA from 1 species